rnacentral:misc_RNA from 1 species
GAUGAAGAACGCAGCGAAAUGCGAUACUUGGUGUGAAUUGCAGAAUCCCGUGAACCAUCGAGUCUUUGAACGCAAGUUGCGCCCGAAGCCAUUAGGCCGAGGGCACGCCUGCCUGGGCGUCACACGUCGUUGCCCCCCCAUCUACUCCUUCGGGAUUGCGGGGGGCGGAUGAUGGCCUCCCGUGCGCCUCGCCGCGCGGUUGGCAUAAAUGCCAAGUCCUCGGCGACGCACGCCACGACAAUCGGUGGUUGCGAAACCUCGGUUGCCCGUCGUGUGCGGUCGUCGCGCAUCGAGGGCUCGAAAAAAUUGCCGGGCUCCGGCUCGGCUUUCAACGCGACCCCAGGUCAGGCGGGGUUACCCGCUGAAUUUAAGCAUAUAAUAAGCGGAGGA